GACGAACGCUGGCGGCGUGCCUAAUACAUGCAAGUCGAACGGUUUAGUUCCAAGAGGCUUGCCUUUUGGAACUAGACAGUGGCGGACGGGUGAGUAACACGUAGGCAACCCACCUGUCAAACCGGGAUAACCUCGGGAAACCGAAGCUAAACCCGGAUAAGCUCCUUUUUCGCAUGAAGGGGGAGUGAAAAGGUGCGACCUGAUGACAGAUGGGCCUGCGGCGCAUUAGCUAGUAGGUAGGGUAACGGCCUACCUAGGCGAUGAUGCGUAGCCGACCUGAGAGGGCGUACGGCCACACUGGGACUGAGAUACGGCCCAGACUCCUACGGGAGGCAGCAGUAGGGAAUCUUCGGCAAUGGGCGAAAGCCUGACCGAGCAACGCGGCGUGAGUGAGGAAGGCCUUCGGGUUGUAAAACUCUGUUGUUUGGGAAGAAGGGAAAGGGUAGGACCCUUAGGUGACGGUACCAAACGAGAAAGCCCCGGCUAACUACGU
rnacentral:rRNA from 1 species